AGCGAACGCUGGCGGCAGGCCUAACACAUGCAAGUCGAACGAACUCUUCGGAGUUAGUGGCGGACGGGUGAGUAACACGUGGGAACGUGCCUUUAGGUUCGGAAUAAAUCCGGGAAACUUGUGCUAAUACCGAAUGUGCCCUUCGGGGGAAAGAUUUAUCGCCUUUAGAGCGGCCCGCGUCUGAUUAGCUAGUUGGUGAGGUAAAGGCUCACCAAGGCGACGAUCAGUAGCUGGUCUGAGAGGAUGAUCAGCCACAUUGGGACUGAGACACGGCCCAAACUCCUACGGGAGGCAGCAGUGGGGAAUCUUGCGCAAUGGGCGAAAGCCUGACGCAGCCAUGCCGCGUGAAUGAUGAAGGUCUUAGGAUUGUAAAAUUCUUUCACCGGGGACGAUAAUGACGGUACCCGGAGAAGAAGCCCCGGCUAACUUCGUGCCAGCAGCCGCCGUAA
rnacentral:rRNA from 1 species